rnacentral:rRNA from 1 species
AUUGAACGCUGGCGGCAUGCCUUACACAUGCAAGUCGAACGGUAACAGGUCUUCGGAUGCUGACGAGUGGCGAACGGGUGAGUAAUACAUCGGAACGUGCCCGAUCGUGGGGGAUAACGAAGCGAAAGCUUUGCUAAUACCGCAUACGAUCUACGGAUGAAAGCAGGGGACCGCAAGGCCUUGCGCGAACGGAGCGGCCGAUGGCAGAUUAGGUAGUUGGUGGGAUAAAAGCUUACCAAGCCGACGAUCUGUAGCUGGUCUGAGAGGACGACCAGCCACACUGGGACUGAGACACGGCCCAGACUCCUACGGGAGGCAGAAGUGGGGAAUUUUGGACAAUGGGCGAAAGCCUGAUCCAGCCAUGCCGCGUGCAGGAUGAAGGCCUUCGGGUUGUAAACUGCUUUUGUACGGAACGAAAAGACUCUGGUUAAUACCUGGGGUCCAUGACGGUACCGUAAGAAUAAGCACCGGCUAACUACGUG